rnacentral:tRNA from 1 species
CUUAACUAUAAAGCGAGGCACUGAAAAUGCCUAAAUGGGUUACACCAACCCCAUAAACA